CUAUUCACUUAAUUGAAUAGCACUAGUCACCAUACACUUUUAAUAUAAACUCUUUUUUUUCUGAAAUUAAACCAAUCAAGUUCAAAAUUAAAUACCUAUACAACACCACCGGCAAGCACCAAAUAAUAUCAUAAAAUCCCAGUCCUCACAUCGACGAAUGCCGCUAGAAGUUUUAGCAGCAUAUGGCACCAAAUGCUGCCCAUACCAAUAUUGCUAAAAAUAU
rnacentral:lncRNA from 1 species